GUGAGGAAUAUUGGUCAAUGGGCGAGAGCCUGAACCAGCCAAGUAGCGUGCAGGAUGACGGCCCUAUGGGUUGUAAACUGCUUUUAUAAGGGAAUAAAGUGGGUCACGUGUGACUUUUUGCAUGUACCUUAUGAAUAAGGACCGGCUAAUUCCGUGCCAGCAGCCGCGGUAAUACGGAAGGUCCGGGCGUUAUCCGGAUUUAUUGGGUUUAAAGGGAGCGUAGGCCGGAGAUUAAGCGUGUUGUGAAAUGUAGUGGCUCAACCUCUGCACUGCAGCGCGAACUGGUCUUCUUGAGUACGCACAACGUGGGCGGAAUUCGUGGUGUAGCGGUGAAAUGCUUAGAUAUCACGAAGAACUCCGAUUGCGAAGGCAGCUCACGGGAGCGCAACUGACGCUGAAGCUCGAAAGUGCGGGUAUCGAACAGGAUUAGAUACCCCUGUAGUCC
rnacentral:rRNA from 1 species